rnacentral:rRNA from 1 species
UUGAAAACUACGGUGGAUAGAGAUGGGCACGCGCAAGAUUAGCUAGUUGGUGAGGUAACGGCUCACCAAGGCGACGAUCUUUAGGGGGCCUGAGAGGGUGAUCCCCCACACUGGUACUGAGACACGGACCAGACUCCUACGGGAGGCAGCAGUGAGGAAUAUUGGACAAUGGGUGAAAGCCUGAUCCAGCCAUCCCGCGUGCAGGAAGACGGCCCUAUGGGUUGUAAACUGCUUUUAUCUGGGGAUAAACCUACUUACGUGUAAGUAGCUGAAGGUACCAGAAGAAUAAGCACCGGCUAACUCCGUGCCAGCAGCCGCGGUAAUACGGAGGGUGCAAGCGUUAUCCGGAUUUAUUGGGUUUAAAGGGUCCGUAGGCGGACUGAUAAGUCAGUGGUGAAAUCCGACAGCUUAACUGUCGAACUGCCAUUGAUACUGUUAGUCUUGAGUAAGGUUGAAGUGGCUGGAAUAAGUAGUGUAGCGGUGAAAUGCAUAGAUAUUACUUAGAACACCAAUUGCGAAGGCAGGUCACUAAGUCUUAACUGACGCUGAUGGACGAAAGCGUGGG